rnacentral:lncRNA from 1 species
GUUGAGCGAUCGCAAGUUCAAAUAUUGCUCGAGCACGCUCUAUCUCACUUAAUGAUAUUUUCAAUUCGGCAUAUUUAUUCAAAGCACAAUAAAGUGUUGCUUAAUAACAUUAAAGUAUCGGUUUGACGUAAUAAAGUAUCGAUUAAUAAGAUUAAAAUAUUAUUUAAUACUAGUACUGUAUUGUGACGAGCAUACCAUACUUUCAUAUAAUAAUGAUAUAUCCGGAGCCCCCC